GCAAAGUUGGAUGCACCCCUACAGGACUGGAGUCAGGGCCAGGCAGAAAAGAGACUACAGGGAGGAGGAAGCAGCAAUGAGCUGGAGGCAUCUUCUUGGGGCCACAGGAGAAUCAGGACUAUGCACAUAUCUCAACAUCACUCCAGGAUGGCUUUUAGACAGAAUUAACCAAAUGCGCUUCCUCUGAAGUACAAUAUGAGAUGCAACUCACAGAAUGGAAGCAAAGAACAAUUUAAGAAAACCUCAAAAGCUAUCUCAAGUCAGCUUUCCCCUGUUUACAAGCAUGCCUCAUGUACACAAUAACAGGGAAGAUAAAUAUUUUAAGAAAAGAGGAAGAUGCAACUAUAAAACCACAACAGGGGAGCAGGGGGAAGAGGUACAGAGACAGCUGUAGAACCUGAAGCCACUCCGAGCUCUUCAUCUUCUAGAUACAGCACUGAAAUAUCAAAUAAGGAAAAGCUUGCGUCGGACUUCUCUAUGAGCCAAGAUGACUCUGAAAGGUUGACAACAUAUUUUGUUUGAGUUUUGAGUGUGCUUAGACUACAUUCUUAAGAAAGCAGAGAAGAAUACAGUAUAUUCUGACCUCUUAAACUAGAACAAAGCCUUCAUAAUACAUUCAAAGCCAAUUCUGCUCAACUAUUAUGAAUUGGAUUCUAACUAACCAAAUGCACGGGACUAAA